AGCCGGCCUGAGAGGGCGACCGGCCACACUGGGACUGAGACACGGCCCAGACUCCUGCGGGAGGCAGCAGUGGGGAAUAUUGCGCAAUGGGCGAAAGCCUGACGCAGCGACGCCGCGUGGGGGAUGACGGCCUUCGGGUUGUAAACCUCUUUUACCACUCACGCAGGCCCCGGGUUCUCCCGGGGUUGACGGUAGGUGGGGAAUAAGGACCGGCUAACUACGUGCCAGCAGCCGCGGUAAUACGUAGGGUCCGAGCGUUGUCCGGAAUUAUUGGGCGUAAAGAGCUCGUAGGCGGCGUGUCGCGUCUGCUGUGAAAGACCGGGGCUUAACCCCGGUUCUGCAGUGGAUACGGGCAUGCUAGAGGUAGGUAGGGGAGACUGGAAUUCCUGGUGUAGCGGUGAAAUGCGCAGAUAUCAGGAGGAACACCGGUGGCGAAGGCGGGUCUCUGGGCCUUACCUGACGCUGAGGAGCGAAAGCAUGGGGAGCGAACAGGAUUAGAUACCCUGGUAGUCCAUGCCGUAAACGUUGGGCGCUAGGUGUGGGGACUUUCCACGGUUUCCGCGCCGUAGCUAACGCAUUAAGCGCCCCGCCUGGGGGAGUACGG
rnacentral:rRNA from 1 species